UUUUUUUUGAAUAUCUGUUCAAAGUUUCAAUUUUUUUUCUAUUUGACUCCAUUGGUUGCACAAGCUUCCCAGAAUUAUCAUGUGUUUCAUCGUGGCUAGUUCAUCUACGGUUGCGUCUUCCAAAUCCUCCGCAUCAACCACAUCUAUUAUCGUGAUUCCAAAUCUCUAAUCGACGAAAAGAGUCAAAACCCUGGUUCUCGUGAGGUUGGACGUGAGUUGCCGAUAAAGAAUACUUAAGUGAUGAAUUGUAUAUUAGUGUUUCGUUGACUAGAUUCAGCAUAUGGGUUCUUGAAAUCUGUUUGGUGGCUUUUCAGUGUCAGCUCAUUUUGAUUUUUUGGUCUGAGAUUCGAUUCAUCUGUUUUGGUCGUAAAAUUGUUUCCUUAAUUGCUGAGCCGAGAAGAUCGAAAGCUUCAGAGUUUGAAGCUGAUUCGCUGUCAAAAUUAUAUAACUCAUGAGCUCAGUUGCAGCCUGCAGGUUCAGUACAAAUAUCUGUUGAUUUUUUUUUCUCUUUGAAUGGUUACUUUUUUUUUGUUUGUCAUCGACUUAUACGGAUUCAUACUGACUCUGUGAACCAAACUGGGAGAUUUUGAUCCAUGUGAACGACGAAAGAUGAUUGCUUUCUGACACUUCGUGCUAGGCCAUCCGCCUUUGUAUUUUGCGUCCUUGAGUAGUGCUUCCAUCUCCGCAUGAAGAGGAGAAAGACUAGCCCGGACAUUCCUCGCCCCUAACAGCCCAUCAAAUCCUUCUAGAGUACUAAACCAACCCUGUCCAGAAAAAAUAUCAUUCUCAUUCCAGGAACCAUCUGUAAAACACCAUCUUCCUGGAAUUAACGGUAAAGUCGUAACCUCUAUGUGUCGUACAUUCCUCUAUUCGUUCAAUAUAUGUGUCUCAGCCCAAAGUGUUGACUCUGUUUCUGCCAAAUUUAGCGUGUCUCUAGGAUCAAAAUCCAGAUUAGUAAAAACUUUAUAUUUCUUCAUUUCCAAAUAUACCAUAGUAUCCAUGCAAACUGAUGAUCAUCCAUCUGCGGAAAAACUCUCCAGAAGAGAUGAUCCAUGGAUUACGAUUGAUGGGUUAGUUUUUUAGAGUAUCAUGGGCCAUAGGAAUUGGUCACAAAAAAAAAUGCUCUUUUCAAUAUCAGAUUCUUUUUGAAUCUGCGAUUCAUAAAAGUGAUCACUUCCAAUGGACAAAGGCAAUGUUGAGUUGAUAAUUGACUCGGAAAAGACAGUUCCUAAACAAGUUGAGAUUUUGUUCAAAUAAGCUUGUGUUACUUUACUGGAGUACCAACUGGUGUUGAUCCUUGCUUGUAUGUGUGAUGCUAUGAACAAGCUUGGCAGCUAUUCCAACAAAUUAAACCCCUUUGUACAUUUUCUUUACAGGUUUCAACUUUGGCUUCUUAAUUUUUGUUCGUGAAAGGAAUGUAUAAGUUAUGUGGUGAAGAAGCAUGCUACGAAUCUUUCCUGAUUUUGGCAAAGCUCAUUGGUUCUCCUAUAAAAUCGGUUCUCCUAUAAAAUCUUUCCUGACUUUUAAUGAUCAGAAUGUUCAAAUCAACUCACUUGCUUAUAUCCUCCUUGAUGUCUAAUUCAACUCCCUUGUUUCAGUCUUUUUGUGUUUCUUCUUUUAUAUUAACAUUUGGUGAUUGAAUCAUUGCAGGCAAAGUUCAGCUUGAAAAACCCGAAUCACAACCUUUUGUUAGGGCCCUGAAGACAACAAUCGACUUCCACUUAAUGAUUUUGUCUGAAAGUAUAGAUUUGUAAGCAUUUAGCUCAAAUGUGUACAUGUGGAUACUUAAUAUAGUUAGAUUCUUAAUAUUGUUUU